UACGAAGGGGGCUAGCGUUGCUCGGAAUCACUGGGCGUAAAGAGCUCGUAGGCGGUCUGUCGCGUCGGUCGUGAAAACUUGGGGCUUAACCCUGAGCUUGCGGUCGAUACGGGCAUGACUGGAGUUCGGCAGGGGAGACUGGAAUUCCUGGUGUAGCGGUGAAAUGCGCAGAUAUCAGGAGGAACACCGGUGGCGAAGGCGGGUCUCUGGGCCGAUACUGACGCUGAGGAGCGAAAGCGUGGGGAGCGAACAGG
rnacentral:rRNA from 1 species